rnacentral:sRNA from 1 species
CCUUGAGCAUGGACAGCCUGGAUCUGCUGGGUGAAGGGAGAAGUUAUGUCCAGGGUGGGACAGAGAGGAUGGCGAGAGAUUUCCUCACUACUCAGAACAGCGGGAAAUUCAAAACUUAGGGAUUAUUUCUGAAAUUUUCCAUUUAAAAUUGACCAAGUGUAACUGAAACCAGAGAAAGCAAGACUGACGAUAAGGGAGGGGCCUCCUGUACUCCAAGAGCACUGAAUCUGGAAAAACUCAACACAUCGAUGGAGUCAUAUAUUUAAUUUUUUCUUAAAAGCCACCUGUGGGGUAUUGUAGAAACGCUGCGCUGCCUAUCACAGCUUGUGAUGUGACACGUUCAUUCUGCAAGUUUAAACUUCGCCUAGCAAAUCUUUAUGAGCAUCUACUAUGCAUCAUGCUGUUCUCGUGAACAAAACAAGAUCCAUAUCCUAAGGGAGUGUGCCUUCCAGCAGAGAAAGACGGCAAUGUGUAAGGAGCGUCAGAAGAAGAUGUUGUCUUUUGUGUGUAGAAAGUGAUCGGUUCUUGGGGAAAAGCUGUGCUUCAGAGACAAGGUUGAAGAACUUCGCCUGCAUAUGAUGGAAGAUGACAAUGGGAACCACAGGUGUCAUUGGUGGCUUUGUUUUA